AUACUUACCUGGAUGGGGUCAAUGGGUGAUCAAGAAGGUCCAUGGCCUAGGCUAAUGACCUUCAUUGCACUUUGAAGGGGUGUGCGCUUAAGGUCGGCCCAAGUGGUCGAGCCUACGUCAUAAUUUGUGGCAGUGGGGGACCUGCUUUCGUGCGGCCCCUCC